UACGUAGGUGGCAAGCGUUAUCCGGAAUUAUUGGGCGUAAAGAGCGCGCAGGUGGUUGAUUAAGUCUGAUGUGAAAGCCCACGGCUUAACCGUGGAGGGUCAUUGGAAACUGGUCGACUUGAGUGCAGAAGAGGGAAGUGGAAUUCCAUGUGUAGCGGUGAAAUGCGUAGAGAUAUGGAGGAACACCAGUGGCGAAGGCGGCUUCUUGGUCUGUAACUGACACUGAGGCGCGAAAGCGUGGGGAGCAAACAGGAUUAGAUACCCCGGUA
rnacentral:rRNA from 1 species